AUCAGUAGCUGGUCUGAGAGGAUGACCAGCCACAUUGGGACUGAGACACGGCCCAAACUCCUACGGGAGGCAGCAGUGGGGAAUCUUGCGCAAUGGGCGAAAGCCUGACGCAGCCAUGCCGCGUGAAUGAUGAAGGUCUUAGGAUUGUAAAAUUCUUUCACCGGGGACGAUAAUGACGGUACCCGGAGAAGAAGCCCCGGCUAACUUCGUGCCAGCAGCCGCGGUAAUAGNAAGGGGGCUAGCGUUGCUCGGAAUUACUGGGCGUAAAGGGAGCGUAGGCGGACAUUUAAGUCAGGGGUGAAAUCCCGGGGCUCAACCUCGGAACUGCCCUUGAUACUGGAUGUCUUGAGUGUGAGAGAGGUAUGUGGAACUCCGAGUGUAGAGGUGAAAUUCGUAGAUAUUCGGUAGAACACCAGUGGCGAAGGCGACAUACUGGCUCAUUACUGACGCUGAGGCUCGAAAGCGUGGGGAGCAAACAGGAUUAGAUACCCUGGUAGUCCACGCCGUAAACGAUGAUUGCUAGUUGUCGGGAUGCAUGCAUUUCGGUGACGCA
rnacentral:rRNA from 1 species